AACGAACGCUGGCGGCAUGCCUAACACAUGCAAGUCGAACGAGACCUUCGGGUCUAGUGGCUCACGGGUGCGUAACGCGUGGGAACCUGCCCUUAGGUUCGGAAUAACUCCCCGAAAGGGGUUCUAAUACCGGAUAAUGUCUUCGGACCAAAGAUUUAUCGCCUUUGGAUGGGCCCGCGUUGGAUUAGCUAGUUGGUAGGGUAAAAGCCUACCAAGGCGACGAUCCAUAGCUGGUCUGAGAGGAUGAUCAGCCACACUGGGACUGAGACACGGCCCAGACUCCUACGGGAGGCAGCAGUGGGGAAUAUUGGACAAUGGGCGAAAGCCUGAUCCAGCAAUGCCGCGUGAGUGAUGAAGGCCUUAGGGUUGUAAAGCUCUUUUACCCGGGAUGAUAAUGACAGUACCGGGAGAAUAAGCGCCGGCUAACUCCGUG
rnacentral:rRNA from 1 species